CUACUACAGCAAUAGAGAUAAGAACAGAGAUAAAAAAUAAACAUCCUUGAAAAUACUUUGUGUAAUUGAAGUGACAUCUGGCCAACUAAAACUAGAGUUAAACAAGCACAUUUGACUUUCUGCAUAAGUUAUAGCCUGAGAAAGAGAUGAGAAACUUAUAUAAUAGGUAUGUCUGAUGGAGAAUUACAACACGCCAAAACCUCCAUGGAUAGCAACAACCGAGAAAAGGAUAAUAAACUCUGCAGCAUCGAUCAUCAUUGCAUAGUGAUUGACAGUACUCUAGAUUGUGCAUAUACUGUCCAUCAGCCUGGUUUCUCAAAAGCACUGAACAGCAAGACCCUCAAGCGACCUGCACUGGAAAUAUAGAGUGAACAAAACAACAAACAUUUGUGCUAUCCACUGAGACUUUCAGGGUUGUUGGUUACCACAGCAUAACCAGUCCUAUCCUGGAUGAUGCACACGACAAGAAUUACAAAUGAAAAAAUUGUGAUAAUUCAAAUGGAAAAGGUAAACUGACACUCAAGAAAUUACUUUUAUAGUCUUGAAUGGCAUACCUAUCCUUGUCGGCAAUAGGCUAUCAAUUUUGUUUCACAGAAAUUUAGAUUCUAAAAUUGGAUCCAUGAUUUAU